UACACAGAAAAGCACAGGGUGGUAUAUAUGGCGGUUAGAGUCAUGGAUCUAUUACUCCCUCGUCGGAACCGGAUCCUCUGACGUUGGGAAAACUACGUCAGAGGGCAGUAGCUCUUCGAUCCACCAUCCCCCAAGCAUCCAACGCUCCUGAUGAAUAGCGCAAUGUGGUCCUCAUUUGCAGCUGCACUUGUUCACUCGUGAGGGGGAAAUAUCGGCGAUGCCGGGUGCCGCUACUUGCUCGCCACCGUCCACCGCGUCACCAGCUGCUACUCCUCUCUUGUCGCCAUUCAUCACGCUGUCGGCUGCAGCGUCUCUCUUGCCGCCGCUGUUUGGGCACCGCAGUCCGCCAUCUGCCUGGCCAUGGCCACUCCGGACUGCUCUACAGAUUGCAGGUUCAUCAACACUUGUGUGUGCGUCUGGCUUCUGCAUCAGGCAUGAAGCAGCCGUCGAUUCAUUCCCUGUGUAGGCGGCGCCCUCGGCGAUGAGACCAAGCAGGCGGAAGCGUCACCUAUGCCCUCAGCGUCGGCGGCGACGACUGAAUGGUCUUCUGGGUUGAAGAUGGAGAACGGACUGGCACUACGAAUGAUUGGUGCCGUCGGAUGCGCUACGCACGGUGAUCCCGCCUUGAACGUCCCUCUGACGUAGAGGCUUCUACGUCAGAGGAUCUCGUUCCUCCUCCGUCAGCUUGAAUUCUAUUUCCUGCGAAUGUUGGGCAUAUUUGCGAGCUGAAACGCACCUGAUUUUUGAAAUGAUUUUUCUAGUUA